AUUCAGCUGACGAGUAUCAAAUAGGACAAAACGCGCGUCAUAGAU
rfam:Schistosoma margrebowiei strain Zambia genome assembly, scaffold: SMRZ_scaffold0000326